rnacentral:sRNA from 1 species
ACUCGUUUGUGCUUGCACAAUAAGGCUUUUGAACUUGGGACACGCUCGAUAUGUGAAAGUAGCGAUUUGCGUAGUAAAUCAGCGAAUUGCGAAUAUUGAGAGGAUUGCGGGAACAGCUAAGCUGCGGAGCAAUCCGUAGUAU